GGUCGGCGCGCCAAAAAGGGUCUCUGGAUAUUGGAGCUUCGGUCUCUCUCAGAGUAGGGGUUGUUGUCUGCUGUUUUCCUUACCUCACUCUAGGAAAUUUAAGUACUGACUUCCCCGUUACAGAUAUUGUGUAGAAGAACCGUCUUUCUUCGGCGCAGCUGUGAUCCUUUUGGCCCGGGGACCGUUGGCCCUCGCGAGUCGACUUUCGUAAUUAUCUAGGGCCACAGAACGGAGGGAACCGCCGUGUGGAACGGCUUGAGAGCGGGGUCUGGAUGCAGAGGAAGGCCGGAAAUUGUGUGUGUGGCUCUUCUGACUGGGUCCGCCCUGUAGACGUGUUACCUGUUGAGCCUGUGAUGCAGUUCUUGGUGAAAUGUAUGCUCUGUGAGUGUAGGAAGAUGGUGGUCUGCAAUGCACAGUACGCCUUACAAAGCCCGGCCCUGACACGCUGGUUGCUCGUUACCCAGGGAGCUCUCAGGAAGGGAAAUACUCGGCCCCGCUCCCAUGGUCACGAACCUGCCAGAGAACCGCCCCGGCAGAAAUUUUUGUUUUGAAAGAGUUUCGAAGAUGAAUGGUCGGAACCGUGUUACAACUCUUCUUGUGAUUCUGACCUCAUUUUAUUUGUUUAUAAUAAACUGGUUUAUUGUGCGCUGCUUUUCUCUCACUUCCCUGGUGGCUCAGAUGGUAAAGCGUCUGCCUACAAUGCAGGAGACCUGCAAUCUCUGGGUCAGGAAGAUCUCCUGGAGAAGGAAAUGGCAACCCACUCCAGUAUUCUUGUCUGGAAAAUCCCAUGGACGGAGGAACCUGGUAGGCUACAGCCCAUGGGGUUGCAAAGAGUCGAACACGACUGAGCGACUUCACUUUGACUUCACUUUAUCUCACUAGGGGGAUGAGAGGAGUUCAGAAAUGAGAUUUGAGAAAUUUCAUGAGUCCAUCUCUUGAAUUCUGCUAAUACAACUGAUGUGUAUACACUGGAAGACCUUCCAGAAUUUCUGAAGUUUACAUUUAUGCUGAAUUUUGGUCUGUGUUGGUUCAACCUGGUGUAGCAAGACAUAAGGUUCUUACAGCCAUUGUCCAGAGUAUAUGUGCUGCCGAAGCGAGCACGGGAGCAAGCUCUUUCCUGGAUCUUCUGACUGAAGUUCAUGCCUCCUGGCCUCAGAAUUAUGUGCUGAAAAACUCAAGGACCAAUCCUCUGCUUUUAUAUUGAUUAACAAAUAAAUCAUGAGUGGCUCUGAAGGACAAUGAAGGGAUCUCCUCCAGUGGGUACAAUCCUUAUGGUGAACUUUACCAAGAAGGUGACAUUAUGUCAGCUCUACACCAGCUCACAGAUUAAAAGAAGAAUGAAUCAUUAAAUAGUUAAGCAUGACCAGCUGUGUACCCCCAGCAGCCCCCUUUGCAAUACUGCAGGCAGAUGACAUGGGCAAAGUGACAUCUGAAGAAAAGAUAAAGAGGAGGCAGCUGGUCUGUGCAUGGUGAAGAAUGAUGCAGAAUCUAAGCUUGUACCUUGGUAAUUCACUGAUAUUCUUUCCCCCCUUUCCCGUCAAAAACUCUCAUGGCCAAGCAGAAUCUGGAGAGUUGGUUCUGGCACAUGAGUCCUCUUUCUCUUCAGAUUGCCGGCCUUCUGAUUAAAGCAAACUUUUCUUUCAUCAACACUUAGCUCUCCAUUAUUGGCUUUUGAGUGGUGAGCAGCUGAACAUGAGUUUGGUAACAUUACUAAAUAAAAUAUACUAUACAUUUACAAAAUAUUAACACAGUCACAUUUUUCUCCUUUACAAAAAU
ensembl:lncRNA